GAUGAACGCUAGCGAUAGGCUUAACACAUGCAAGUCGAGGGGCAGCAUGGUCUUAGCUUGCUAAGACUGAUGGCGACCGGCGCACGGGUGCGUAACGCGUAUGCAACUUGCCUCACAGAGGGGGAUAACCCGUCGAAAGACGGACUAAUACCGCGUACACUCCAUCUUGGGCAUCCAAGGUAGAGGAAAUGAAAUUCGCUGUGAGAUAGGCAUGCGUCCCAUUAGCUAGUUGGUGAGGUAACGGCUCACCAAGGCGACGAUGGGUAGGGGAACUGAGAGGGUGAACCCCCACACUGGUACUGAGACACGGACCAGACUCCUACGGGAGGCAGCAGUGAGGAAUAUUGGUCAAUGGGCGGGAGCCUGAACCAGCCAAGUCGCGUGAAGGAUGACUGUCUUAUGGAUUGUAAACUUCUUUUAUACGGGAAUAACAAGAGUCACGUGUGACUCCCUGCAUGUACCGUAUGAAUAAGCAUCGGCUAACUCCGUG
rnacentral:rRNA from 1 species